rnacentral:rRNA from 1 species
UACGUAGGGGGCUAGCGUUGUCCGGAAUCAUUGGGCGUAAAGAGCGUGUAGGCGGCCCGGUAAGUCCGCUGUAAAAGUCAAAGGCUCAACCUUUGAAUGUCAGUGGAUACUGCCGGGCUAGAGUCCGGAAGAGGCGAGUGGAAUUCCUGGUGUAGCGGUGAAAUGCGCAGAUAUCAGGAGGAACACCGGUGGCGAAGGCGGGUCUCUGGGCCGAUACUGACGCUGAGGAGCGAAAGCGUGGGGAGCAAACAGG